CGGGGGGGGCAAGCGUUGUUCGGAAUUACUGGGCGUAAAGGGCUCGUAGGUGGCCAACUAAGUCGGACGUGAAAUCCCUCGGCUUAACCGGGGAACUGCGUCCGAUACUGGUUGGCUUGAGUUUGGGAGAGGGAUGCGGAAUUCCAGGUGUAGCGGUGAAAUGCGUAGAUAUCUGGAGGAACACCGGUGGCGAAGGCAGCAUCCUGGACCAAUACUGACGCUGAGGAGCGAAAGCCAGGGGAGCAAACGGGAUUAGAUACCCCGGUAGUCCUGGCCCUAAACGAUGAAUGCUUGGUGUGGCGGGUAUCGAUCCCUGCCGUGCCGAAGCUAACGCAUUAAGCAUUCCGCCUGGGGAGUACGGUCGCAAGGCUG
rnacentral:rRNA from 1 species